rnacentral:rRNA from 1 species
AACUCGAUCUCAAAUCAAGUAAGACUACCCGCUGAACUUAAGCAUAUCAAUAAGCGGAGGAAAAGAAACUAACAAGGAUUCCCCUAGUAACGGCGAGUGAAGCGGGAUGAGCUCAAAUUUAAAAAUCUGGGCUGGGUUUACUAGUCCGAAUUGUAGUUUAUAGAAGCGUUUUCGGUGGCAGCCUGGGUAUAAAUCCUUUGGAAUAGGGUAUCAUAGAGGGUGAGAAUCCCGUCUUUGACUCAGUGCAUGCUACUAUGUGAUACGUUUUCAAAGAGUCGAGUUGUUUGGGAAUGCAGCUCACAAUGGGUGGUAAAUUUCAUCUAAGGCUAAAUAUUGGCGAGAGGCCGAUAGCGAACAAGUACCGUGAGGGAAAGAUGAAAAGAACUUUGAAAAGAGAGUUAAACAGUGCGUGAAAUUGUUGAAAGGGAAACGUUUGACGCCAGUUAUGCNGGUGGAAAAUCAGUCUUUUGCAAUGGGGAGUUGUGGGCGUUCGGACCGCAAGGCUG